GCCGCCCCAGCGCCGCCCCGACACCACCGUCGCCCCGCUGCCCUCGACGCCGCCCCGACACCACCGUCGCCCCGCCGCCCUCGAUAGCCAGUUUGUUCCCGUGUGUCGCUCCUGUGCUCUCGCACACACAAGCCCGCAAGGUCGCCAGCCACCUCAAAUUUCCCCCCUUGGGCCGGUUCUCCUCCACACGCCCGUAGCGGCGUAGCCUCGACGGUGGUCGGCGACUGGAGUAGUGGCGGGACAGGCGGCGAUGUCCAGUGUCGUGAAGGGAGGCGUUUGCCUCCAGCAGCUCCGCCCCUAUCCUCCUAUACAGCCCUACCGCCACGGAUUCAAAAUGGAUUCGCCACUUCCACCACAGAUCUGGCUUGUGGUUGACUGCACCGACUGUCGCCGCCUUCGUUUCUAGCUGCCGGAGGGUACACCACUAGGGACGAGGCCGAAUCUAGAUACGCCCGCUAUCUAGCGGGAGAGGGGAGGGAGCGUUGGAGGAACCGGAUGAAGACGAGUUUCAUCGUGAUGAUGCUCAUCGUGAUGACCGCAUCUCUCUUCUAUGUGAUGGUAGUUUAGAUGAUCGAUAUCGACUUGUAAUGUGAAGACAAACUCGCUACUCGCGGUCUCGAGACUUGUAAUAUAAUGUUCUAUCUUUGUUCGGUCUUUUCAAUUCGGAGACUAAUAUGAUGAAUUGUAUUCGGAG